UACAGAGGUCCCAAGCGUUGUUCGGAUUCACUGGGCGUAAAGGGUGCGUAGGUGGCCAGGUAAGUUUGGUGUGGAAGCUCGGAGCUUAACUCCGAAAAGUCAUUGAAUACUAUCUGGCUGGAGGGUCGGAGGGGAGACUGGAAUUCUCGGUGUAGCAGUGAAAUGCGUAGAUAUCGAGAGGAACACCAGUGGCGAAGGCGAGUCUCUGGACGACUCCUGACACUGAGGCACGAAAGCUAGGGGAGCAAACAGG
rnacentral:rRNA from 1 species